GAGCAUGGAAGCAUAGGGACCACAGGUGGUGGGAAGGUAAAUGGGGAACAGGUGUAGGUGAUUAGAGCAGGGAGAGGCUGAGUGAGAGUGUAAGUCUUGGAGGAAGGUGUGGCUGGUGGUUCUCUGACAUUACUAUCUUCAUCUUUACUGCAAUCAAGUCGUUCCAUGUUUGCAUGUGACAUCAAGCUGAAGUGACAUUAAGAUCCUGACAGCCUCCUAAAAGUCAGCAGAAAGAGCAACACAUGCAAAGAGACAACGUUCUGGACAAACACAAACCACAUUGUCAAUGUUUUUGCAGAUGUUUGCUAAGAAAUGCCUGUAUUCUGUCUUAAUACUGAAUUUAUACAGAUUGAUAUUCAGAUUUUAUGAGAGGGCUAUGCAGAGCUAAUCACCUAUGCAUUACAUUUUGAAUUCACCUUAGUCUUGUUCACAUCACUUUAGUUUAUCAUUGUUUUCAAAUGAAUCCAUAAAACUUUUUAAGUGUAUGAGUCUAAAUACAAGUAACUUUUCUUGUGUACAUGGUCAUACCUGUUGAACCUAACUUCCUGACUCUGCAUAGAAAAUAACUCUUGUUCUGUCAAAAAUGUCCCUGUGUUCUGUACCAUCAUUGUGUAUUGAGUGUCUGGAAAAAAAUGCAGUCUUUUGGAAAAACCUUGUUUCUGCCAUUGUUCUUUUAAUGAUGUAUGCAGUAGUGCUUUUUUUGCAUUGUGAUGUUGAGAAACACUCCUGAAUAAUUCAUGCCACAAAGCCAUUUUGUCACAGACUCUUUUAUCUUACAGUGGGAGGAAAAAAGAAGCCCAUUUAACCAGGGGCCUUUAUCAUUCAAGGAGCACAGUUAAAUUUUACAAUGACUCACUUCUUGAUCUUAUUGCAUUGACUUUUUCCUUCAAUAAUCCACCCACUCAAACUGGCCUUUUGAAUAAAAUGUCUGCUUGAAUCACA